CAAUGAGCGCGGGAUGUGCGCGGGGCUGCGGUGCUCUGCGUUGUGGGGAGCAUACAGAGGGGACGGGGGAUGUGGGCGGGCGGAGUGUGCGGGGACAAAUUCUACAAACAGCUUUGUCUUGCUCCCAUGUCAGCAUUUCUCUGAGUUGUUUAUAACCCUGAAGCCUGGGCUGUGUGUCCUGUCUCCUACCAUGCCAUCCAUGCUUGUACUUCUGCUUCUACAGUCACAGUGUACAAGUAUAAGUAAAAAUAAAACAGAAUAUAGCACCACUCACUAGAAAAGCAGAUGUUAUAUAUAAAAAAAAAAAAAAAAAUGUCCAGGCAAGCUGAUGCAAGUGACAUGAAGUAAACCUUGCAAACACUAAUCCUGAGGCUCUGAGAGUAAGUACACAACUACAGUCUGUUACUACCAAUGACGUUCCUGUGCAUACUGGGCUACUGGGGUAAAAAGUCCUAUGCAAACAUAAAUUACAAACCAUACCUGAUAGUAUUCAAGGUAAAAUCAAUUUCAAAGUUAACAAAGGAGACAGAAAACCUGAACAACAGUGCUCAUGGACCAACCCUGGAGACCCUCAUGGAGAGAGUCGAACUACUGGCAAUUGGGAAUAUGAUGAUUUACUGUGAUGCCCUGCUGUACUUUUAUAACUAUUGUAUUCCGAUUCAUAUUGUAAUGGCACUGAGUAUAAAUUCUAGACAUCUCACAUAAAGUAUGUUCUUUUCAUGCAUUUAAUGAUGUUUUGAGUGCAACACUCAUUUUUUCAAACAAGAAAAAGAAAAUAUUGAUCAUUUAUUUGACUGGAUUUUUUCAGUGAUUAUUCUAUCAUUUUUAGUGCUUACUACAUCAAAAACCUUUUGCAGCAUCUUUCUAAGUCUGCAAUAAUAAGUAAGAUUUAAUCAUAAUCUACUACUUCCAAGUAAGAAUUAGUAUUCAUCAGCUGUUGGGACCUAGUUUUUGACACUUUGAAUUCAACCAUCUAGAGAACACAACCAAUCUCUGAAUUCAGCUCUGUAUUUGUGCUCUGUCUUAUUAUAAACUAAGUUGAAUUAUAUAUUUUAUAUGUAUCCUACUGUACAGUGUGGAAGUCAGAAAUGAUGCCUUCUUAAGGAAUUAUUAUCAGUUGAUUUUGUCAUGUUUGCCUUCAUAAGAAGAAAUAUAAUCAGCAAAUUAAUUGAGAGAUGUCCAAAAUAAAAUAUUUUUAAAUUUGUGCAUUGUCUGAUUACACCUUGAAAGUCUAAAGCAAGGAAGAUCAAAUACAAACACCAGAGGCCACAGAAUAACACUAGUAAGAGACAAUUACUACAUCAAGAGACAGCAUUGAUUAUUACAUUUGCCUUUACUUUUAUAAAUUAGUCUCCUUCAUUUUAUAUAUAUUUAUCUUACGUACAAAAAAGUGAAAUGGAAAAUUAAGAUUGAAUACAACUGUCUGUGGAGAAGGUUGGGCAGAGAGGUUGUAAACUUUUCCUCCAUGGAAGAUUUCUAGGCCAGGCCUGGGCUGUUUGAUCUGAUCCUGUGGCUGGUCCUGUCCUGCGAAUGAGGAUGUGCUGGAUAUCUCCAGAGGUCCUUUCCAGUCCCAGCAGGAAACAUACUGGAGCAAGGCAGGCUACUGGGCAAGAAGGGAAAACAGAUUUCAGUCUCUCUGUCAUCAUGUGGGCAGAUGCUUAUUGUGUGGUGGUUCUCUUUAGCCUAUACAUGAUAUAUCAGUUCAGUCUGUAACCUCCUUGAAACAUGGAAUGUGCCUGUUGCCAUUGCACAUCUCCUAGUUUGAUGGGACUAAGAAGCAGGGACUAUUACAAACCAAAUGAAUACAAUACAUUGUUAAGCAGAUAUUAAAUGACUAUUUGGGGAAUAAAUGUUUUUGCAUUGUGAUUCAUAGCAAAUUCUGCCUGUACAAAGUUGUGGUUAUUCCCUCCCAGUUGUAGGACUGUACAUUUGAUCUCGUUGAACCUCAUAAUGUUCCUCUCUACCCAACACUCACCUUGUCCAGGUCCCACUGAAUGGUAUCACAGCCUUCUGGCAUGUUGGACAUUCUUCCCAACUUUGCAUCAUCAGCAAAUUUGCUGAGGGUGCACUCUAUCUUUUCAUCCAGGUCAUUGAUGAAUAUUGUUGAUGUUGUAAUUCAUAAACAAUAUUAUACAUGUGACACAUACAAACUUCCCUCUUUUAGUUUGGAAACGGUUUGACUCUCGUUCAUGGACUGGUAUACUGGCUUUGUAUUCCUGCAGUGCCUGAUUGUUAUCAAAAGAUUUAGAUUGCUUUAUCUCUUAUUUCCACCUAUAUAAACCUUUAUGCUUCUUUUCUUUUUGUCUGCUGGCUGUUACACAGUGCUCAAUGAUGGUACUCUGGUAGGUUAUUUGAUGUAUAGCAGGUGGUUUGGUUUCCAGGUUGUACUUUUGAGUCUGCUUUUCAAUAGUUAUUCACCAUUAAAUGCAACUGAAUAAGA
ensembl:lncRNA